rnacentral:rRNA from 1 species
UACAUAGGGGGCGAGCGUUAUCCGGAAUUAUUGGGUGUAAAGGGUGCGUAGACGGGAAAUUAAGUUAGAAGUGAAAUCCCCAGGCUCAACUUGGGAAUUGCUACUAAGACUGGUUUUCUUGAGUACUGGGGAGGAAAGUGGAAUUCCUAGUGUAGCGGUGAAAUGCGUAGAUAUUAGGAGGAACACCAGUGGCGAAGGCGACCUUCUGGACAGAAACUGACGCUGAGGCACGAAAGUGUGGGGAGCAAAC